GAAAUGCGAUAAGUAAUGUGAAUUGCAGAAUUCCGUGAAUCAUCGAAUCUUUGAACGCACAUUGCGCCCUCUGGUAUUCCGGGGGGGCAUGCCUGUCCGAGCGUCAUUGCGAACCCCUCAAGCACGACUUGUGUGAUGGGCCCUCCCGCGUCUUGGUCGUCAAGACGGGCCCGAAAUGCAGUGGCGGCUUCGCGGUUAUCCGAUCAGCCAGAGCGUAUGGGGACUCUCUCUCUUGUCACACGCCCGCGGCGCGGACCGACGCCUGUCGACCUUUAUUCAUCUUCUCUCGGUUGACCUCGGAUCAGGUAGGGAUACCCGCUGAACUUAAGC
rnacentral:misc_RNA from 1 species